rnacentral:rRNA from 1 species
AAGCCAGACUCCUACGGGAGGCAGCAGUGGGGAAUAUUGCACAAUGGGGGAAACCCUGAUGCAGCGACGCCGCGUGAGUGAAGAAGUAUUUCGGUAUGUAAAUCUCUAUCAGCAGGGAAGAAAAUGACGGUACCUGACUAAGAAGCCCCGGCUAACUACGUGCCAGCAGCCGCGGUAAUACGUAGGGGGCAAGCGUUAUCCGGAUUUACUGGGUGUAAAGGGAGCGUAGACGGCGAUGCAAGCCAGAUGUGAAAGCCCGGGGCUCAACCCCGGGACUGCUCUGGAAACUGCGUCGCUGGAGUACGGGAGGGGCAGGCGGAAUUCCUGGUGUAGCGGUGAAAUGCGUAGAUAUCAGGAGGAACACCGGCGGCGAAGGCGGCCUGCUGGACCGUGACUGACGUUGAGGCUCGAGAGCGUGGGGAGCAAACAGGAUUAGAUACCCGAGUA